rnacentral:rRNA from 1 species
UACGAAGGGGCUAGCGUUGCUCGGAAUCACUGGGCGUAAAGCGCACGUAGGCGGCUUUCUAAGUCAGGGGUGAAAUCCUGGAGCUCAACUCCAGAACUGCCUUUGAUACUGGAGAGCUCGAGUCCGGAAGAGGUGAGGUGGAACUGCGAGUGUAGAGGUGAAAUUCGUAGAUAUUCGCAAGAACACCAGUGGCGAAGGCGGCUCACUGGUCCGGUACUGACGCUGAGGUGGCGAAAGCGUGGGAGCGAACAGG